UCGACCGGCAGCGUUACAACACGUUUCCGUCCUAAAACGAACAAUCUCAGUCGCUUUAGUAUAUCUAUUUUACGAAAGUGACAGAUAAAAAAAGUGUCAAUUAAAAUCUUAGUAAAAAGGAAAAAAAGAAUAAAAUAGAACAUGAUUCAAAUUCACAAGUAACUGGUAGCAGAAAUAGAGGAAGCAAUGAUCACCAUUAGAAACAUGAAUUCAUUCACGUCCUGUCCAUGACGAGAUGUGAGAUCUGGCGCGCGCCAAUAUGGCUAACGCGACCGACGCCUUUUGUGUGCCCGGCGCCACGGAAUUCAAUAAAGCUUACAGUCGGCUGCAUGGAUACAUCGCUAUUGUAAUAUGCAUCAUAGGAUCCGCUACGAACUCUAUCAACAUCACCGUGCUGAGCCGCAGGGAAAUGAUAAGCUCAACGAACUCCAUUCUGACGGGACUGGCGGUCGCAGAUCUCCUCGUGAUGCUCGAAUAUAUACCAUACGCCCUGCAUAUGAAUAUUAAAAUUGGACCCGAAGUAAAUAAGAACACGUACGCGUGGACCGUCUUCGUUUACUUCCAUUCGAUAUUUAGUCAAACAUUUCAUACUAUAUCGAUCUGGCUGGCUGUAACGCUUGCUGUAUGGCGGUACAUCGCUAUCGCAUUUCCUCAGAAGAACAGAACGUGGUGCAGCAAACAAAAUACCACAAUCGCCAUCGUGAGCGCUUACGUGAUUUGUCCCUUCCUUUGUCUUCCAAUUUAUUUUGCAAUGAACAUAUCGCAGAACGAAGUGACUCCUCAGAAUAACUCCCAGUUCGCAGAAGACUUAUCAUUGCCACAUAAUAGAACAGUGUACGUGUUAGAAAUGUCAAAGAACAAGGAAUUAGUUACCGCGAUAAUGUGGAUAUACAGUGUUAUAUUAAAACUAGUCCCAAGCAUAGCUUUAUCUAUAUUAAGUACGUGCUUAAUCUCUAAGUUAACUACCACAGAGAGAAGAAGACAAAAGCUUCUUAAGAGAUCGAUAGUUGGACCAAAUGAUAGUGAGAAGCAGUGCUUGGCAGAGGAUCCUAAUGCAGCGCGGCGUUCCAGUCGCACAGACCGUACGACACGCAUGCUGUUAGCUGUGCUGGGGCUCUUCCUCUCAACAGAAGUUCCUCAGGGCCUCCUGGGCCUCGCCAGUGCCCUCGCACCGGACUUCUUCAAGAGCUGCUACAGCAUGUUUGGUGAUCUAAUGGAUGUACUGGCAUUGUUCACGUCGUCAGUGAACUUUGUGUUGUACUGCAGCAUGAGCCGCCAGUUCCGAUGCACGUUCGCUCGUCUAGCGCGCCGCAUGCUCUCCGCACCGGAGGAACAACCCAAAUCAUCACACAAGCACGAGCCAACCACACAGGUCACAGGGCCACUUUAGCGACAGAUGCCCGCCCUUAUUAGGGUGGUGGAGGAGAGCGUUAUUUAGUGUCAAGAUUUACAAUCAACGAAGACAAGAAAUGUUUGUUAAAAUUAUUAGUUAAUUAUAAAAUUGUACAUACUAUACCUUGACACUAUGAAAUAUUAAUCUUAUUAGUCUAUUUUAGCUCUUACGGUUUCUAAAUCUAAAAAUAUUAAGAAUCUAUAUUAACAUUUGUACAUAUUACUUUUGUGCUUAUAAUUAUGUUGUAAAUAUUGUACAUAGUUUAAUUAUACGGAAAUUAGGUAAACCAUGUAUUAGUAACCUUUAAAUAUAAGUAAAUACUGAGACAACUGCUAGUUUUCGCGUCUAAUGAGCCGAGACGCAAAACCUAGACGUUGUUUAUCAUAUUAUAUACUUAUAAAUCUAUCUCUAAGUUAUUUUUAGGGUCCAAAAGUUAUUAAAUGAUAACUAGGGAACUUUAUAAAUAAUUAAAAUUAAAUUUUAUCCUUAUGUAAUGUUAAAUAUUAUUGUAAUCAUUAAAAUUUUCUACUAUUAUUGUUUAUUUUGUGUAAAAUUGUCAUUCAUUGACUGAGAAUAUCAACGAUGAGAUAAAUG